rnacentral:rRNA from 1 species
GCAUAACGCGAAGAACCUUACCAGGGCUUGACAUCCCUCUGAUCCCUCUAGAGAUAGAGGUUCCCUUCGGGGCAGAGGUGACAGGUGGUGCAUGGUUGUCGUCAGCUCGUGUCGUGAGAUGUUGGGUUAAGUCCCGCAACGAGCGCAACCCUUGUUCUUAGUUGCCAGCAUUUAGUUGGGCACUCUAAGGAGACUGCCGUCGACAAGACGGAGGAAGGUGGGGAUGACGUCAAAUCAUCAUGCCCCUUAUGUCCUGGGCUACACACGUGCUACAAUGGAUGGUACAACGGGCUGCGAACUCGCGAGAGUAAGCCAAAUCCCAAAAAACCAUUCUCAGUUCGGAUUGUAGGCUGCAACUCGCCUACAUGAAGUCGGAAUCGCUAGUAAUCGCGGAUCAGCAUGCCGCGGUGAAUACGUUCCCGGGUCUUGUACACAC